AGUGAACGCUGGCGGUAGGCCUAACACAUGCAAGUCGAACGGCAGCACAGUAAGAGCUUGCUCUUACGGGUGGCGAGUGGCGGACGGGUGAGGAAUACAUCGGAAUCUACUUUUUCGUGGGGGAUAACGUAGGGAAACUUACGCUAAUACCGCAUACGACCUACGGGUGAAAGCAGGGGAUCUUCGGACCUUGCGCGAUUGAAUGAGCCGAUGUCGGAUUAGCUAGUUGGCGGGGUAAAGGCCCACCAAGGCGACGAUCCGUAGCUGGUCUGAGAGGAUGAUCGGCCACACUGGAACUGAGAAACGGUCCAAACCCCUAGGGGAGGCAGAGGGGGGAAAUUUUGGGAAAUGGGGGAAAGCCUGAUCCAGCCAUCCCGGGGGGGUGAAGAAGGCCUUCGGUUGGUAAAGCCCUUUUGUGGGGAAAGAAAAGCAGCAGGUUAAAACCCCGCUGUUCUGACGGUACCCAAAAAAUAAGCACCGGCUAACUUCGU
rnacentral:rRNA from 1 species